rfam:Alteromonas sp. RW2A1 genome.
CCGUUCUGCUGAAUUAGUGAUCGGCGGGACAUAAUUUAGGAGAAUGUUAUGUCACUAACUAAAGAACAAACUGCAAAAAUCAUUGCUGAGUACGGCGUUAAAGAA